UCUCCUGUCACUCUCUGGUUAAGAACCACUUAUAUGCUCAGCAGCUGACGAGACCGGGACAAAGAGGCAUGAAGAUCAGCCCUUGUGGACUGUAGAGAAACAGUUGCCGAAGAAAACAGGCUGUUCUCUUGAUGACUUAUUCCAAAAGGUGAAGCUCCAGAGAUCAUAUCUGCUGUGGAAAUCAAGGCUGUGUGAACAUCACAGAGCUGAUUCUUUCUCUCAGACUUUGGAGCAGUGUAGACUCAGAAAAGCUCUGAAAUUAUGGCACCAAAAGUGUCACAUGCUGAAGACAGCUGAACAAAGUCCUAAGCACAGGACUGUUGAUGAAGAACCUCUUGCCAUGCUGUUUUCAGAAGACCUCUCAACAUCUUCUGGCUUUGACAGCAGUGCUUCAGCUAUUCUGACCUCUCAGAACUCAUUGGACAAGGAAUACAGUUUUAGUGACAGCAACCAGCAGAGCUUCUCCUCCAUUCUGACUGCUGAGGAUGUCACACCGAUACCUUAUUACAGCUCUUUCCUGCAACUACACCAAUGUGCAGAGUUGCCAGCUGAGCUGGGUGGGCAGCUGUACCUGCAGGCCUUUCCUCCAUGGAGUAUCAGAUCUGGAAGAAAUUGGUUUGUGGGAGGUCAGUUGCAGUCUCUGGCACUGCAGAGUCCAGACAAUAAUGGCCAGUAUCCCUCCAGUUACUCUACAUGGGAGGAGGUAAGCAAUACCACGCAUGUAACUGUACAGGUGUUUGCUGCAGAGCUCCAUUUAGCAAAGAGCCUUUGGGUUUCACUGUCAGCGUA